UUGUGUAUUUCCUGCUAAUCAAACAUCUUAACUCUCUCAGUAUCUUUGUUUGUUAAUGGCCAAUUCUUCCUCUGAUGCUGGGAUUAGGCCAAUGGCCCAAGAGGAACCCCUCAGCCGGAGACUUAAAAGAGAAAGAAUGAGGUUGAGGUGUUACUCCUCCCAGUUAUCUCCUGAGAGUCUGUGCAGGCCUGGCUGCAUCCCAUGACCAGAGGCCCCUGCUCCUCUCCAGGUGGACUCUCUCCAUAGCUCUGGGCUUCCAAGGCCUGGGAGUGGAACAGCCUGGUCAUCAGAAGCUCCAGGAUACUAUAACACCUCUCUCCUUACCCUCAGACUGCAUUCAGCUUCUUUAGUAGCCUCUUUAUUAAGCCUCUGUUUGCUUCUCUAUCACAGUAAGUAAUAGCUUAAAAUAACAAUCUGGGUUUGCUUUCACAGUCCAAUUGGUCAAGAAUUUGGGAAGGGCUUGGCAAGGCAGUUCUUCCUUAAGGUCUCUCAUGUGGUUGCAAUACGUUGUGGGGAAUUUGGUGGGGUAGUAGGGGUGAGGGGUGAGGAGGGCAGGGGGUCUUCAGUCAUUUAGUCUAGAUGAUGCAGCUUCACACUGGCUAACUCAUAUAGUGGGAAAGUUUGAGUGUGGCACCUGACUUCCAUAGAAAGUGUGUGUGUGUGUGUGUGAGAGAGAGAGAGAGACAGAGGACCACACUGCCUUUUGUGGAGUCACCUCCAAAUUCAGGGAGCCUCAAGUCUGUCUUCUGUUGAUUAAAGCAGUUUAAAAGAACUUCCCUGGUGGUGGAGUAUCUAAGACUCCAUGCUCCCAAGGCAGGGGCCUGAGUUUGAUCCCUGGUUAGGAAACUGGAUCCCACAUGCUACAACUAAAAGAGCCCAUAAUGCACAACUGAAAAAGAAGAGGAAGACAAACAAGCCAUCCAGUUUCAUGGGGAGGGAACAGAGGCCGUGCCUCCUGAUAGAGGCACACCAACUCCCAUUGGAAGGGCCGUGUGUACAGUGGAGACGAGCAAGAAACCCAC
ensembl:lncRNA